rnacentral:lncRNA from 1 species
CUGCUGUCGGAAAAUGUCCAGAGGCACCAUCCCUGCUAUGAAGAGGGAAUGCCAGUACAACAGCCACAAGGGGUCUUCCUGUGGCCCUCAAACAAAAAAUCACUGCAUUACAUCAGCAGGCCGGACGCGGUGGUUCAUGCCUGUAAUCCCAGCACUGUGGGAGGCCGAGACGGGCGGAUCACGAGGUCAGCAGAUCGAGACCAUCCUGGCUAACACGACUGCAUUGGAGAGAAAGGCGCCGGGACAGAAAAGCCUGAGAUAAACCACCUGUCAUUCUUGGAGAAAAGGAUGCUGCGGCUUUCCCGAUUUGGUUGAUGAGAUGGAAAAUCAACCCUUACAGGAAGGACAUCACCAAUUCCGGAAAGGAUGCUGCGCCAGUCAUGUUUCCGCACUCUGUGAGACGUUGAAAUCUCCAGAAGUUGCCCAAGGUUUUCAAGCUGAACACAGGAGAAAUGACUCUGGAUCUCUGAGGACUGUUUUCCUCAAUAAGGAGCUGCAAUCUUGGCUCCACCACCCUCCCUCCAAAACAUCUCGUGUGUCUGGUAUCUGGUUAUAUUGUGGCCUGACAGAGAAGUUUCUUUCGGGGCCAGUGAAU